CGACCCCAGGUCAGGCGGGGCCACCCGCUGAGUUUAAGCAUAUCAAUAAGCGGAGGAGAAGAAACUUACAAGGAUUCCCCUAGUAACGGCGAGCGAACCGGAAUAGCCCAGUGGGGAAAAAUCCGGGUGGCUGCCCCCACCCCGAAUUGUAGUCAGGAGAAGCGUCAAUUUUU
rnacentral:rRNA from 1 species